UAUAGUGACUUUCAGACUUUUUUGGACUGUAACUGACAGAGAUAAAUAUUAAUUUCGAACACAUAUCAGAAAAAAAAUUUCACCAAAUCAUACUGUAUGUGAUACAUUCUGAAAUUUUUUAUCUUUCAUUUUGUAUAAAAUCAGGUUGUAGCCCCACAAGAUCAAUUUUACUACCUGUAGCUUGAAAAGCACUGCUGUGGUCUGUUAGGCCAAAGGGAAAUUAAUUUAUGUGAGUUAUAUUACGUUUAUAUAGAACACUGGUUGGAUUUUUGAGGUGAGUUAAUAGUCUUGAGCUUUUCAUUCUACUAUAGCACAGUCUUACAUGAAGGUCACACGAACAUAAGAAAUGAAAUUUAUGUUAGGUCAGUUAACCAUCCAGGCCAGUAUUUUCCUUGAUCUCCAAAGGUAUACAGAUCAAAUACUCUCAUCUUCCUUUAAUAUUGAACUGCAAAUAUACCUACAACUUUCUUGAACCUAAUUAUAGUGUCAUAAUAUGGCUUCUUGGGGGUAAUUAAGCUUCAUACAUUUGCUAACUAUCCAGUUAUAAACACUGUUUGACUACCUAAUCCCAUGUUGCUGUGGCUCUGGCGUGGGCCGGCAGCUACAGCUCCGAUUAGACCCCUAGCCUGGGAACCUCCAUGUGCCACGGUUGCGGCCCUAGAAAAGGCAAAAAGAAAAGAAAAUUGGUUCACAGACGAUAUUAAGUUAAGAACUUUUACUUAUUCCCUUAAAAGAAGCACUUCACAUCUUCUCUUUGACAUAUCCAAAUUUCUGGCAUCACUACUCUUGCACUCUGGGGCCAUAAUUAAGUAAAGGUUACUUGAACACCAGCACUGCAAUACUGCAGCAGUUGAUCUAAUAACUGAGAUAGCUACUAAGUUACUAACAGAUGGGGUAUGCUGGACGAAGGAAUGGAUGAUGCAUGUCCCACUCCAGGAUGGCUUGAGAUUUCAUCAUGUUACACAGAAUGGUGGACAAUUUAAAAUACUAGUUAUUUCUGGGAGUUCCCAUUGUGGAGCAGCAGAAACAAAUCCGAUUAGGAACCAUGAGGUUGCAGGUUUGAUCCCUGGCCUCGCUUAGCAGGUUGGGCUCCAGCAUUGCUGUGAGUUGUGGUGUAGUUCGCGGACACGGCUCAGAUCCUGUGUUGCUGUGGCUGUGGCAAAGGCUGGCAGCUGUAGCUCCAUUUUGACCCCUAGCCUGGGAACUUCCAU
rnacentral:lncRNA from 1 species